GAUGAAGAACGUAGCGAAAUGCGAUAAGUAAUGUGAAUUGCAGAAUUCAGUGAAUCAUCGAAUCUUUGAACGCACAUUGCGCCCGCCAGUAUUCUGGCGGGCAUGCCUGUCCGAGCGUCAUUUCAACCCUCGAACCCCUCCGGGGGGUCGGCGUUGGGGAUCGGCCCUUUCACCGGGUGCCGGCCCCUAAAUACAGUGGCGGUCUCGCCGCAGCCUCUCAUGCGCAGUAGUUUGCACACUCGCACCGGGAGCGCGGCGCGUCCACGUCCGUAAAACACCCCAACUUCUGAAAUGUUGACCUCGGAUCAGGUAGGAAUACCCGCUGAACUUAAGCAUAUCAAUAAGCGGAGGA
rnacentral:misc_RNA from 1 species